rnacentral:rRNA from 1 species
GAUGAACGCUAGCGGCAGGCCUAACACAUGCAAGUCGAGGGGUAGAGGAAGCUUGCUUCCUUGAGACCGGCGCACGGGUGCGUAACGCGUAUGCAAUCUACCUUAUACAGGGGGAUAGCCCAGAGAAAUUUGGAUUAAUGCCCCAUAGUAUUAUGAAAUCGCAUGGUUUUAUAAUUAAAGUUCCAACGGUAUAAGAUGAGCAUGCGUCCCAUUAGCUAGUUGGUGUGGUAACGGCAUACCAAGGCAAUGAUGGGUAGGGGUCCUGAGAGGGAGAUCCCCCACACUGGUACUGAGACACGGACCAGACUCCUACGGGAGGCAGCAGUGAGGAAUAUUGGUCAAUGGGCGCAAGCCUGAACCAGCCAUGCCGCGUGCAGGAUGACGGUCCUAUGGAUUGUAAACUGCUUUUGUACGGGAAGAAACACUCCUACGUGUAGGAGCUUGACGGUACCGUAAGAAUAAGGAUCGGCUAACUCCGUGCCAGCCGCCGCUGUAA